UACGUAGGUGGCGAGCGUUGUCCGGAUUUACUGGGCGUAAAGAGCGCGCAGGCGGUCGUACAAGUCGCGUGUGAAAGCCCCCGGCUCAACUGGGGAGGGUCACGCGAUACUGUUCGACUCGAAGGCAGGAGGGGGAAGCGGAAUUCCCGGUGUAGUGGUGAAAUGCGCAGAUAUCGGGAAGAACACCCGUGGCGAAGGCGGCUCUCUGGGACGGUACUGACGCUGAGACGCGAAAGCGUGGGGAGCAAACAGG
rnacentral:rRNA from 1 species